CUCCACACCAUGAAGCUGCUGCUGAAGGAGGGAAGAGGGCUAGUGUUGGCAAUCCAAGACAGUCUUUUCUACACUCUUCAGUGUCUCGUUAAACUACAUGAAGCUAAAACCAGGCAUCACAACAGGGUGGAAUUGGAGUUGCUCUAUGAAAAAAAGCUGAAGUAUGCAUAGCCUGCCUGAUCACUGGUGUAGAGUCAAAGAAAUAAAGUUUGAACUUGAACAGCAAUGCUUCCUUGGAAUAUUCUCUCCAUGAGGCUUUGGAUGGUAUACUCAUUUGGACAGAAGGUUUCAAAAGAAAGAAGAAGAGAGAGAGGAGAAAAGAAGAAAAGAAAAGAAAAGAAAAGAAAGAAAAGAAAAGAGAAAUGAAAAAAAAAAUAGGAAAACAGAUUCCAGCAUGAUCACAAACAAAACAUCUGACAACUCAAAAAAGUAUCUCCAUGUGUUUCCACACAUGGACCAAUUUGGACUGGAAUGAAAAGUGUGAGCUACCACAAACAGUUCCUCUUCAGGUCAUAUAUGGUGGUCACCCCAACACUAUGCUCUUCUGUAAAACAUUUUACACUUACAGCCUUGUCCAGUUUCUCUCUCCAACAACUUGACUUCCUGUGCUAUAGAUAAGUAUCAAUGCCUCCUCUUUUUUAAAUCACUGUGGCCCAUAAAGAUAUUUCUAGGCCUCUUGACAUUUUCAACUCUAUUUUUAC
rnacentral:lncRNA from 1 species